rnacentral:tRNA from 1 species
GGGCACAUGGUGUAGUUGGUUAUCACGCUCGCUUAGCAUUUGCUAGCCUGCGAGAGGUGUUGGGUUCAAUUCCCAAUGUGUCCA